rnacentral:rRNA from 1 species
AACGAACGCUGGCGGCAGGCUUAACACAUGCAAGUCGAACGCCCCGCAAGGGGAGUGGCAGACGGGUGAGUAACGCGUGGGAACAUACCCUUUUCUACGGAAUAGCUCUGGGAAACUGGAAUUAAUACCGUAUACGCCCUACGGGGGAAAGAUUUAUCGGGGAAGGAUUGGCCCGCGUUGGAUUAGCUAGUUGGUGGGGUAAAGGCCUACCAAGGCGACGAUCCAUAGCUGGUCUGAGAGGAUGAUCAGCCACAUUGGGACUGAGACACGGCCCAAACUCCUACGGGAGGCAGCAGUGGGGAAUAUUGGACAAUGGGCGCAAGCCUGAUCCAGCCAUGCCGAGUGAGUGAUGAAGGCCUUAGGGUUGUAAAGCUCUUUCACCGAUGAAGAUAAUGACGGUAGUCGGAGAAGAAGCCCCGGCUAACUUCGUG